GAUGAACGCUGGCGGCGUGCUUAACACAUGCAAGUCGAACGGAAAGGCCCAAGCUUGCUUGGGUACUCGAGUGGCGAACGGGUGAGUAACACGUGGGUGAUCUGCCCUGCACUUCGGGAUAAGCCUGGGAAACUGGGUCUAAUACUGGAUAGGACCACUUCUUGGAUGUUGUGGUGGAAAGUUUUUUCGGUGUGGGAUGAGCUCGCGGCCUAUCAGCUUGGUGGUGGGGUAAUGGCCUACCAAGGCGUCGACGGGUAGCCGGCCUGAGAGGGUGUACGGCCACAUUGGGACUGAGAUACGGCCCAGACUCCUACGGGAGGCAGAAGUGGGGAAUAUUGCACAAUGGGCGCAAGCCUGAUGCAGCGACGCCGCGUGGGGGAUGACGGCCUUCGGGUUGUAAACUCCUUUCGCUAGGGACGAAGCGUUUUGUGACGGUACCUGGAGAAGAAGCACCGGCUAACUACGUG
rnacentral:rRNA from 1 species